AAGUAAGCCCCGCCCCAUAUUUGCGGAGGGAGGAAUCCUAUUAACGGAAUAGCCGGGGACUGCAACAGCUGAUUUCCGAGAACUUGCACCACGGCUUCUGAAUCGAGACUGGCUUGGGAUCCUGGAGGCACUAAGGGAGGAAGAGCCCUUGAAGAUGUCUGAUGAGGAUCUGUGUAGCGUUUACACCGCCCUCGCGGACGAGCUGAAGCUGCAGGGCCCGUACAUCAGCCUGGCAACCAGCUUCCUCCAAGGCGAUCAUCAACACUGAGAACCUCUCAACUUGACAGCAAAAGCUUUGAAUUGUAUCACCAGUGACAUGGGAGAUGGCUUCUCAGCAAACUCAAUCACUAUCUGCACUCAGCGGUAGACCAGCCACCCCAGUGGGUAUGUUUGCCACCAUCAAUACAUCCCUCAGAGUCCCUCUUCCCCACCUUAAUCAGAGGAUCAUCCUCAUCCCGGCCAUUUGGAAUUUCAACAAGGACUGGUAAGAUUUAUGUCAUCUCUGAUUUUCAACGUGUGGACUAGCAUAUCUAUGAAAGACUGCUGAACUAUGCAACGUUCUUGCUUCGAGGGCCUUCUGAUCUUUGGGAAAUCUAAACAAAUUGUAUGAGCCAGUGCCUAACAGAAUAAAGCAAGCAUAUAUGUGA